CUUUCUUUUUUUAUUCUUCUGAUCCAUAUAUGGUAAUAUGUGUAAUGAUUGGUUUGUGGUAACAAGGAACAAUAAGAGGGGUAUAUAAGACAGCACUGUGUGAGGGUGUUCUUCUCUGUAGAACUCUGUAUCUGCAUUGAACAACCUUCUUGCAAGAAUAAAAUCAGCACAGACAUUUCAAAUGUUUGUUUCAUUACAUUCUCACCACUAAAGGAAUAAACAAUUUUUCCACAACAAUUUGGUGUCAGAAGUGCGGAUUCCGCGUGUGAUUUGUCUGGACCUGAAAACGCUUGAGGUUGAUCACCCUGGUCUCCAAAGACUGACUCCCUACCCCAAAGUCUUCAGGGAAGAGGGACAAGCAUCUGAGGGCCCAGACAUUCACCGCCGGAAUCUUAAAGAAUCCUCAGCAAGGAAGAAGGCAUGUUUGCCCGGUGAGUCUGUUUUGAAACCAUAAAAUUUAGGUUUGAUAUUUUCAGACCCCUUUUUUUUGUGUUGCGCACCUCUCUACUUCUGAGUCUGUGAGGGUGAAUAUUUCUAAAGCACAAGAAAUAAGUUGAUUUGAGUCAAAGUACUGACUCAAAGGAGAGGUUUUUCUACCGAGUCUGUGCAGAAAAGGGUUUCUUUGCCGAGUCUGUUCAAAGACAAACUGUGGUGACGACUGCAGGGUGAGGAAAAAGGGUUCCCCCGAGGUUCAGUGACACAGAAGAUGGGGUCUGGAAACAGCAAACAAAAAUUUACUAGUCCAAUUUAUAAAGAAAUGAAAAGAAAAUAUUGUGAUAGAGCUUUGGCAGAAAUCCCAAAUUGGAAAGAAAAUUAUGACUAUUCUUUCAACCGUUGAUUGACUGAAAAUGAUGGCACAUGAAAUAAUGUGACAAAAUUAUUAAUGAGAAAUUAAUAAUUCUAUUUAAAUCCUCAGGAUGUUUGAAUGUCUAAUGAUUUAAGAGAAUUGGUAUUGUGAAGUCCUUGUAAGGCACUAAAACAUAAUUUGAUAGAUUACAAUUUUUAGAAUUCUGUAAAUCAAUCUGGACAAGAAUGGACAGCAGAUUAUUGUAGCCCAAGUUCACUUUGAUCAAGUGAAGUUUUGAAACAAAUUAAUUCCCGCUCUGUCUCUGCUGUGUUAGAUUGAAAUCUUAAAACCAUUGUAUAUCAAAUCCAUGAAUCAUGAGUCAGAUACCAACUAAGAUAUGCGCAACUGUAUUCAUAAUUUAGUUAAAUAGAUAUUUAAUAGUUUAAUAGAUAAAUUAAUACAAAGUACAAUGUUAAUUGAAUGCCAUCAAAGAUAUGGCUUAUAUUAUAUUUUGUUAAUUAGACGUCUGAAAAUUGUACUCGAUAUCCCUGGAAGGCAGUUUGAGAUUUGAUACAUUGCAGAAAUGUUAUGAUUUUGGUUUGUUAACUAAGAUAACAUUUGUGCAUUGUGUUGAAUGAGAACGAGAUUGGGUGACCAAGUUAAAUAGAAAUUUUGAUUUAAACAUGCAGGCACAUGACAGACAUCUUAAAGUAAUGUUAGUUUCUAGUAAAAGAGAAAAGGCAAAGAACUCUUUACUAUUUUAUAUAUAUAUACACCAUACACUUAUAUACACCAUACUCUAUAUUAAUUAGAGUAGUUUACAUUCUGUUUACUGCAUUUUGCAAAGAAGGAUCUGCUUGCUUUUUCUUGCAAAGAGGAACUACACUCUUAGAAAAAAAGGUUCUUUGGGGUUCUAUAUGGAACCCUAGGGUUCUUUAACCAACUUUAUAGAACCCUUUCUGCCAAAAAGGUUCUAUAUAAGGAGAAAGAACCAAAGGGUUCUUUGGGCUAAAUGUGCUUUAUAUACAUUAUUAGUGCUUUAUUUAAAUUAUUACACUAUUGAACAUUAUAUUUGUGUUUUUACUUCAAUUUUACUUAGGCACACCUUUCAUUCUGAAGAAAACAAACUUAUAUACAUUUUCAAGUUUAAUAGGUUUAUUAGAAAAUAAUAAUUGCCGCAUUAUCCUAAUGAAAAAAAAAAAUCUAAUUGUUUCUGGAUCUAGGCGCUAGGGGCAGAAUUCUGCCAUCUGCUGGUUAAAGAAAAUCCUGUAGGAAUGACUUAUAUUCUGAAAGUCAAUUCUUAUAACUCAACCCUCCAAACAGAUGCAUUAAAUGAUCUUCGACAUAAACAGCGAAUAACUUGCAUGUGUAUGCGCUGAUCAGUUCUGUACUGUCUGCACGCGCAGUGUCGGAUUUCAGCCGCGCGAGUCGUGCGCGAGUAAUUAGAAUGCGCGUGAACGCAGCAUUUUAAACUUCAACCGUUACGGACGUCCGUUUGAGCUCAGCGCUCGAGAGGACGACGAUUAAAUUGAAUCAAAAAGAAGAAAUGUGGUUUACGGUGCUGUCCGGGCCUGCGCUAUUCUCCGCCAGGAGAAAACGCACAAGAAAACGAUGUUUCAGGAGCAGUCAAAUCACGUGAUCACUGUACACCCAGACUGUUAUAAACAUGAAUUCAAGAGAAACCACGAAGAACAAAGAGAGGAGGUGAUGAAGAUGCUUCUUCUGUGGAUAUAGCUGUGAGUAUUUGGUGUUUGCAGUUAUAGCACACUUUUUUUCUGAAUUAAUUGAAGGCCUUAUUUAUGCUAAACACUGUAUUUGGUUCUUGAAGAUGCAUUAUAAAAUGAAGAUGAAGAAAAGACCUUCAACUGCAAACCAAUGACACAAAAAUGUACAUUAUUUUUACUCACAGUACCAACUUUGGGAAACCUGUAAAUCUGCUAAUCUGAAGUGGCUUAUAUUUGUUUUCUAUUUUCCAUGUUUAAUGCAAUAAUUAAUAAUAAUAAAUUAAUAUUUCUGUUUGCACUCUCACUGCAGGGAUGGACUCUGGAGUGCAGCAUUACUUCAAUAAGAUGAAAAUAACACACCUGUAUGAUUCAAGAUGUCAAGCCCCCUGAACGCAAAGAGAGUCUGCAUCAAAAUGGACGUGAACCUGACUGAAAACACAGAGAUGUCAAAAGUAUCUGUUGGCUGUCUACUUUUUGUUCAAUAUGGAGCAUCCAAAUGCCAGUUUCUUUCAUUCAGCACUAUUUAGCCCUUCUCAGUACUGAAUUUGCCGCCAUGGGUCAUUUGUUUUUAUUGUUUAAAUGCUUAUCUGAAUGUUAAAUUAUCAUUUAACGCUCAUGAAUUAAAAAAAA